rnacentral:tRNA from 1 species
GCCGGGGUGGCCGAGCGGUAAGGCGCCGGACUCGAGAUCCGGUGGGCCUCGUGCCCUCGUGGGUUCGAAUCCCACCCCCGGCGCCA